AUAAUACUCCUUUUUUAAUUUUUAUUUUUUAAAGUUGCUAAUGUGUUUGUUCUUCCUUUCAGUGAGGGAACAAGCGUCUCUUUGCCAUUAACUUGGGGCAAAAAAAGAGAGGAAACGUAUGCCUUGUUUUUCAUUAUUGCCUAUUGGUACACAAGACGUAUUUAGAGGAAAGGGGUGGAGGAAGAGGGGGUUGAGUGCUUGUAGACCAUGAGCAAAAAAUGGCAGACUACAAUAAGAAUUUGAUUUUCAUCUGGUCGUCCAUUACCAAUACAAUUUCGAGACUCGAUUUGAUUAGAGACUAAUAGCUCAGUCAUCUACCAGGUCAAGAAAGUUAUUAAUUGGGUUAGUUGCUUUAAGCUUGUGGGCUGACCACCUAUAUGCCUGCUUUGCAUAUAUUUCGUUGCCAGCUCCAAUCCACAUCAUUUGAUGACGUGUUGUUUACACCAAAUUUGACUUGUACACAAUAUCUGUUACUACGAGAGUUAGAGAGAGAGGCCAAUUCAAACCAUCAUUUGGUGACACAUUUUUUAAGAGCAAUCGUGGAACCUAUAUUUGUUAAGUGAAGUCAAUGUUAUGCUGAAGCAAACAAAAGAUUAUGACGAUUGAGGAUGGUCAAGUUCACAUUUCACUUCUUAUCUUUCCAUUCUCUCUCUUUUAGAGUAAAGAUCAUUUGUAGUAUUUCGUGGCUACCAAAUAUUCAAAUACUCCAGGGAACAUUGUAGAUGUAAAAUUCUGCAUUAUAUAAUAGGAGGAAUUUUUUUUUUUUUUU